GGUUUGGUGGCCGAGUGGUCUAAGGCGCUACGUUUAGGUUGAUUGAUCAAAAUCCGUAGUUCGAAAGAGCGCGCGUUCGAAUCGCGCCCAAAUCA